CCUACGGGAGGCAGCAGUGAGGAAUAUUGGUCAAUGGGCGCUAGCCUGAACCAGCCAAGUAGCGUGAAGGAUGACUGCCCUACGGGUUGUAAACUUCUUUUAUAUGGGAAUAAAGUGCGGCACGUGUGCCUCUUUGUAUGUACUUUAUGAAUAAGGAUCGGCUAACUCCGUGCCAGCAGCCGCGGUAAUACGGAGGAUCCGAGCGUUAUCCGGAUUUAUUGGGUUUAAAGGGAGCGUAGGCGGGUUGUUAAGUCAGUUGUGAAAGUUUGCGGCUCAACCGUAAAAUUGCAGUUGAUACUGGCAGCCUUGAGUACAGUCGAGGUAGGCGGAAUUCGUGGUGUAGCGGUGAAAUGCUUAGAUAUCACGAAGAACUCCGAUUGCGAAGGCAGCCUACUGGACUGCAACUGACGCUGAUGCUCGAAAGUGUGGGUAUCAAACAGGAUUAGAUACCCCAGUAGUC
rnacentral:rRNA from 1 species